GGCUUCGUGGUCGAAUGGUAAGCAUACUUGCCUCUUACCCUAGAGUUCCGGGUUUGAUACCCGGUCGAGGAGCUA